GACGAACGCUGGCGGCGUGCUUAACACAUGCAAGUCGAACGGAAAGGCCCUGCUUUUGUGGGGUGCUCGAGUGGCGAACGGGUGAGUAACACGUGAGUAACCUGCCCUUGACUUUGGGAUAACUUCAGGAAACUGGGGCUAAUACCGGAUAGGAGCUCCUGCUGCAUGGUGGGGGUUGGAAAGUUUCGGCGGUUGGGGAUGGACUCGCGGCUUAUCAGCUUGUUGGGGGGGUAGGGGCUUACCAAGGCUUUGACGGGUAGCCGGCCUGAGAGGGUGACCGGCCACAUUGGGACUGAGAUACGGCCCAGUCUCCUACGGGAGGCAGCAGUGGGGAAUAUUGCACAAUGGGCGGAAGCCUGAUGCAGCAACGCCGCGUGCGGGAUGACGGCCUUCGGGUUGUAAACCGCUUUCGCCUGUGACGAAGCGUGAGUGACGGUAAUGGGUAAAGAAGCACCGGCUAACUACGUG
rnacentral:rRNA from 1 species